rnacentral:rRNA from 1 species
UGGGGAAUAUUGGACAAUGGGCGAAAGCCUGAUCCAGCGACGCCGCGUGUGUGAAGAAGGCCUGCGGGUUGUAAAGCACUUUCGAUGAGAACGAAAUGUGCCGGGUUAAUACCCCGGUAAGCUGACGUUACUCAAUGAAGAAGCACCGGCUAACUCUGUGCCAGCAGCCGCGGUAAUACAGAGGGUGCGAGCGUUGUCCGGAAUCACUGGGCGUAAAGGGCGCGUAGGCGGCCUGGUAAGUAGGGGGUGAAAUCUCAUGGCUCAACUGUGAGGCUGCCUUCUAGACUGCUGGGCUUGAGCACGGUAGAGGCUGGUGGAAUUCCCGGUGUAGCGGUGGAAUGCGUAGAGAUCGGGAGGAACAUCGGUGGCGAAGGCGGCCAGCUGGGCCGUUGCUGACGCUGAGGCGCGAAAGCGUGGGGAGCAAACAGGAUUAGAUACCCCUGUAGUCCCUGAGCGGGCUGGCAAGGCGCAU